CCGUGAACCAUACGAGUUUUUUAAGCAAGUUGCGCCAGAGUUAUGUUGGCCAAGGGCACGCCUGCCUGGGCGUCACG
rnacentral:rRNA from 1 species